rnacentral:rRNA from 1 species
GACGAACGCUGGCGGCGUGCUUAACACAUGCAAGUCGAACGGAAAGGCCCUGCUUUUGUGGGGUGCUCGAGUGGCGAACGGGUGAGUAACACGUGAGUAACCUGCCCUUGACUUUGGGAUAACUUAAGGAAACUGGGGCUAAUACCGGAUAGGAGCUCCUGCUGCAUGGUGGGGGUUGGAAAGUUUCGGCGGUUGGGGAUGGACUGGCGGCUUAUCAGCUUGUUGGUGGGGUGGUGGCUUACCAAGGCUUUGACGGGUAGCCGGCCUGUGAGGGUGACCGGCCACAUUGGGACUGAGGGACGGCCCAGUCUCGUACGGGAGGCAGCAGUGGGGAAUAUUGCACAAUGGGCGGAAGCCUGAGGCAGCAACGCCGCGUGCGGGAUGACGGCCUUCGGGUUGUAAACCGCUUUCGCCUGUGACGAAGCGGGAGUGACGGUAAUGGGUAAAGAAGCACCGGCUAACUACGUG